rnacentral:rRNA from 1 species
UUGAACGCUGGCGGCAGGCCUAACACAUGCAAGUCGAACGGUAACAGGAAGAAGCUUGCUUCUUUGCUGACGAGUGGCGGACGGGUGAGUAAUGUCUGGGAAACUGCCUGAUGGAGGGGGAUAACUACUGGAAACGGUAGCUAAUACCGCAUAACGUCGCAAGACCAAAGAGGGGGACCUUCGGGCCUCUUGCCAUCGGAUGUGCCCAGAUGGGAUUAGCUAGUAGGUGGGGUAACGGCUCACCUAGGCGACGAUCCCUAGCUGGUCUGAGAGGAUGACCAGCCACACUGGAACUGAGACACGGUCCAGACUCCUACGGGAGGCAGCAGUGGGGAAUAUUGCACAAUGGGCGCAAGCCUGAUGCAGCCAUGCCGCGUGUAUGAAGAAGGCCUUCGGGUUGUAAAGUACUUUCAGCGGGGAGGAAGGGAGUAAAGUUAAUACCUUUGCUCAUUGACGUUACCCGCAGAAGAAGCACCGGCUAACUCCG